ACAACAUUUGGACCGUAUGUUUACCGAGCAACACCAACCGCUCGGUGGAAGAUUUUCCCUCUGUCGU
rnacentral:pre_miRNA from 1 species